ensembl:lncRNA
GCAGAUGUAGAGGCCAUAGCUCGCACAACUCGCUAUGCAAAUGAUUUGCCUUAUCAUGAAGUGCAAUGUGCUUUGUCUGACGCAGUCCGUGAAAAGUACCCAACCCCUAACACAGGUGCUAUACCUAAAAUAAUUUGGGACCCCCAAAACACACCUAGAGAGUUUUUAGAAAAAGCCAGAGAUCAGUGGUUGUUAGAAACAGGUACCCAUCCGGGUAGGGAAGGUGAGCAUCGGGCAUGGUUUCGCUCAGCGGUGCUGGCAGGGCUGCCAAAUCAGGUCAUAGAAGAUCUACAGAAAAACCCAGAUUUUGCCGUAGCAGAUUCGGUGCAGUGGGAAAGACACGUCUCACAUCGUUUGCAGCUGGAGCAGGACAGGGCGAACAAGCAGAAAAAAGAGUUGGAGGAGGCACAAGCGUCUCUGCUCAAACUACAGUUGGCGGAGGCCAGAAACAAAGCCUGCGAAAAGAAAAAAGAGGAAAAAGAAAAAACAGAAAAAAUGAUGAUAGUUGCGACCCAGCCUGGUCCUGGGCCUGAAUGGCCAGAUAGUGGCCCGGGUCCCUGCACUAAUGAUGGAUGGCCCGCCAAUGCACCAAGGCAGAACCAACCCACAGGGAAUUGGGGAACCGGUGGAUCGUACAGAGGGCGUGGUGGCUCAGCGGAGGGAGUACUAAGAGCUCGUAACACGGGGAAUCUCAGCAGUGUGCCUUGGAAUGUCUGUUGGAAUUGUGGAGCAGAGGCAGACUUUGAAACACAACUAUGUGGUGUCAUCGCAAGCGCCAGUAAAUCUCAUGGGCAGGGACCUGCUCGUGAAGUUGGGCGCCACAAUCACAUGUUCAGCAGAUGGAUUAUCUGUGACUCUGCCAGGGGGCCAGCAUUUUCCGUGCCUGGGAACAAAUUCAAAGACUCAAUAUCUGCUUCAAGACUGUGAAAGAGCAAAAGCCGACAUCUACUGGGGGAGACUAGUGAAAGAGGAUGUUCUGAGGCAAUUUCAGCUGUGGAGACCCUGGAUAAUGAGCUUGGCAGUUUACUUCCCUCCGC